AUUGAACGCUGGCGGCAGGCCUAACACAUGCAAGUCGAGCGGAUGGAGGGAGCUUGCUCCUGGAUUCAGCGGCGGACGGGUGAGUAAUGCCUAGGAAUCUGCCUGGUAGUGGGGGAUAACGUCCGGAAACGGGCGCUAAUACCGCAUACGUCCUGAGGGAGAAAGUGGGGGAUCUUCGGACCUCACGCUAUCAGAUGAGCCUAGGUCGGAUUAGCUAGUUGGUAGGGUAAAGGCCUACCAAGGCGACGAUCCGUAACUGGUCUGAGAGGAUGAUCAGUCACACUGGAACUGAGACACGGUCCAGACUCCUACGGGAGGCAGCAGUGGGGAAUAUUGGACAAUGGGCGAAAGCCUGAUCCAGCCAUGCCGCGUGUGUGAAGAAGGUCUUCGGAUUGUAAAGCACUUUAAGUUGGGAGGAAGGGCAGUAAGUUAAUACCUUGCUGUUUUGACGUUACCAACAGAAUAAGCACCGGCUAACUUCGUG
rnacentral:rRNA from 1 species